rfam:Gossypium raimondii Chr05_contig_25, whole genome shotgun sequence.
GGUUAAAAAUUUCAUCUAUUUUUACUAUUAAAAAUUGGUCUUAUACGUCAAACCGUCACACGCCACAUGUAACUAUCUAGUUAUUUUUUAAUUACGCUAAUUUUUAACAGUAAAAAUUGAUGAAAUUUUUAACA